rnacentral:rRNA from 1 species
CAGUAGCCGCGGUAAUACGAAGGGUGCAAGCGUUAAUCGGAAUUACUGGGCGUAAAGCGCACGUAGGCGGAUCGAUCAGUCAGGGGUGAAAUCCCAGAGCUCAACUCUGGAACUGCCUUUGAUACUGUCGAUCUGGAGUAUGGAAGAGGUGAGUGGAAUUCCGAGUGUAGAGGUGAAAUUCGUAGAUAUUCGGAGGAACACCAGUGGCGAAGGCGGCUCACUGGUCCAUUACUGACGCUGAGGUGCGAAAGCGUGGGGAGCAAACAGGAUUAGAUACCCCUGUAGUCCCUGUCUCUUAUAC